GACGAACGCUGGCGGCGUGCCUAACACAUGCAAGUCGAACGGACUGGUCCUGGUUAGGUGGGGUGCUCGAGUGGAGAACGGGUAAGUUACCCGUGGGUACCCUGUCACUGACUGUGAGAUAACUUCAGGAAAAUGGGGCUCAUCCCGGAUAGGAGCUAUCGCUGUUUGGUCGGGGCGGGAAUGAUUCGUCAGUUGGGGAUGGAAUCGCGGAUUAUCAGCUUGUUGGUGGGGUAGUGGCUUACCAAGGCUUUGACGGGUAGCCGGCCUGAGAGGGUGACCGGCCACACUGGGACUGAGAUACGGCCCAGACUCCUACGGGAGGCAGCAGUGGGGAGGAGUGCACAAUGGGCGGAAGCAUGAUGCAGCAACGCCGCGUGCGGGAUGACGGCCUUCGGGUGGUAAACCGCUUUCGCCUGUGACGAAGCGUUAGUGACGGUAAUGGGUAAAGAAGCACCGGCUAACUACGU
rnacentral:rRNA from 1 species